rnacentral:rRNA from 1 species
UACGUAGGGGGCAAGCGUUGUCCGGAAUCAUUGGGCGUAAAGAGCGUGUAGGCGGUCCGGUCAGUCGGUUGUGAAAGUCAAGGGCUCAACCCUUGAAUGCCGGCCGAUACUGCCGGGCUAGAGUCCGGAAGAGGUGAGUGGAAUUCCUAGUGUAGAGGUGAAAUUCGUAGAUAUUAGGAAGAACACCAGUGGCGAAGGCGGCUCACUGGCCCGGUACUGACGCUGAGGCGCGAAAGCGUGGGGAGCAAACAGG